rnacentral:rRNA from 1 species
GGCCAGACUCCUACGGGAGGCAGCAGUGGGGAAUAUUGGGCAAUGGGCGCAAGCCUGACCCAGCAACGCCGCGUGCAGGAUGAAGGCCUUCGGGUUGUAAACUGCUUUUAUAAGCGAGAAAUAUGAUGGUAACUUAUGAAUAAGGAUCGGCUAACUCCGUGCCAGCAGCCGCGGUAAUACGUAGGGGGCAAGCGUUAUCCGGAUUCACUGGGUGUAAAGGGAGCGUAGACGGCGACGCAAGUCUGGAGUGAAAGCCCGGGGCCCAACCCCGGGACUGCUCUGGAAACUGCGUCGCUGGAGUACGGGAGGGGCAGGCGGAAUUCCUGGUGUAGCGGUGAAAUGCGUAGAUAUCAGGAGGAACACCGGCGGCGAAGGCGGCCUGCUGGACCGUGACUGACGUUGAGGCUCGAGGGCGUGGGGAGCAAACAGGAUUAGAUACCCGUGUAU